ensembl:lncRNA
CUCUCGGUUUCGUACCUUCGCCUCGAGGUCGGCAGACCGCACGGCUUGGGCAUUUGCAGAGGCCGCGGGGCGUGUCACCGAGGCCACCGUGCCCACUCUGCCUGUGACCGUCGGCCUCGACCCGACAGCGCCCAGCGGCCGCAGCUCUCUCAGUGGCGGGCGAGCUCCGUCCGUCCGUCCGUCCGUCCGUCCAUCCAAGCACCCACACUCCCUUCUGCGGGGCCCAGCGAGAGGCGCUCCCUGCGCAGAGUGGCCAGUUUCCCAGUGAACGACACUGCCGGGCCGGGGGGCUGCCUCUGGUGCAAGCAGGACACGGCAGACGGGAGCGGCCGAGACCGCUCUGUGGCUUCCACACGCGACCGCCCAGGAAGGCAGCGAGAACGGGACGCCUUCUUUUCCAGAAGGGGUCAGCUGAACGAGCCUCUCCUGACUCCCUACUCUUCCUCGGGGAGGAGGACUUGGAAUAACGCGGCGAAUCAAGAGUUUAAAUUCCAGGGGCUUUACUCACACGCAAGCGAGACACGAGCAAUCCUCUCAACUCGUGACCAAGAUAAUCAGAUCCAUGCAGCCCGCCGACCUGAGACAGGAAGCCCACUGUGCCGAGGGCCGACGCUGAUAGAUGGGAUUUUGACAGAAACAGGGGCGGGGGGGGGGGGGGAGGGGGUGGACAGCGGGUAUCUGAUUCGAAGGGGCCAGCGGCAAAAUGAUGGAAUCUUCCGGUCAGGCCGCCCGGCCAGGGUCGCGCUCAUUCGGGUGCCCAAGUGGAGACCGCACCAGCCGGCUCCCAGGCCGCCGUCUGAGCUGCCCAGAAACGCCGGGGCGGGCGGCCCAUCUCCAACCCCGCUUAGGGGCCGGGGAUCCCGGGCCCACCCCUGUCGUCACACCGUCACGGCGCCUGCUGGUGGCUGCAGGCUGGCCCUCGGUCAAACGGGGCCUCGGGGAUCCAGCCCCUGGCUUCUUCCGCACAAAGCACAUCUUACACACGUCGUCUCUCUCCACGUCCUCUCCCUGGAGCCCGGAGCGAGCGGCCACGAAGCCACAAAGGCGGGCCCACCUCCGCCCCUACCUGCCCGGAAGGUGCCACCAUCCGGGGCGAGAGUCAGGACCGCCCCGCCCAGAGAGCCCCUCUUCGCCACUCGCCGUACAGGCCCAUCUGAGAAAUGCAACUGGGAUCACAGGCCGGCAACCAGGGCCAAAUCCUACGUUAGUCCUUGUUCUGCUCUGUACCUGGGGACCCACCGGGGGGCUUGCUUUCUGACUACUCGCUCUUUGUCCACCGAGCAAGAGCACUCGAGGCCGCCACCCCCUGGAGUCACAGCCCAGAGCCGCAGGACAGCUUUGCGCUCCUCUGCUGCUAAGAGGCACGGCCGGCCGGCCGUGGGGCCAAGGCGGCUUCACACACCCUGUCCGGCAAUGCCCUCACUUUCCCCCAGCGCCCUCGCAUUCACCAGAACCGCCGACGCAGGGCAAGGAAAGAGGGGACGGAACGAAAGAAGGAAGGGAGAAACGGAGAGGCAGAGGGAAAAGCUUUGGAAAGCCAAGAAGCUCUGA